UAGGGAAUAUUGGACAAUGGGCGAAAGCCUGAUCCAGCAAUGCCGCGUGAGUGAGGAAGGCCUUAGGGUUGUAAAGCUCUUUCGCACGCGACGAUGAUGACGGUAGCGUGAGAAGAAGCCCCGGCUAACUUCGUGCCAGCAGCCGCGGUAAUACGAAGGGGGCGAGCGUUGUUCGGAAUUACUGGGCGUAAAGGGCGCGUAGGCGGCCCGUUUUGUCAGGCGUGAAAGCCCUGGGCUCAACCUAGGAAUUGCGCUUGGGACGGAUGGGCUAGAGAUCGGGAGAGGAGAGUGGAAUUCCCAGUGUAGAGGUGAAAUUCGUAGAUAUUGGGAAGAACACCAGUGGCGAAGGCGGCUCUCUGGACCGAUACUGACGCUGAGGCGCGAAAGCGUGGGGAGCAAACAG
rnacentral:rRNA from 1 species